CGCAUCCUCCACAAUGGCAGCCCAUAAUGCCUAUCGACUAUGUGUCAUCUACGCACCGGGGAAGGUCACAGCGGGGUCGACACUUUCACCGACAGGAAAAUUCUGAAAGGAUUGGCAGCUCAGUCUGGGUUGUGAUGUCACCGAUACCGCGUCGUCGUCGUCAUCAUUCCCCUGUGGAGUAGAGCACACCUGUAAAGAGGUUUGAGUAUUCAGCCAUCCAUUUUCUUCACCG